GGGUUGUGAGGUUAAGCGACUAAGCGUACACGGUGGAUGCCCUGGCAGUCAGAGGCGAUGAAGGACGUGCUAAUCUGCGAUAAGCGUCGGUAAGGUGAUAUGAACCGUUAUAACCGGCGAUUUCCGAAUGGGGAAACCCAGUGUGUUUCGACACACUAUCAUUAACUGAAUCCAUAGGUUAAUGAGGCGAACCGGGGGAACUGAAACAUCUAAGUACCCCGAGGAAAAGAAAUCAACCGAGAUUCCCCCAGUAGCGGCGAGCGAACGGGGAGCAGCCCAGAGCCUGAAUCAGUGUGUGUGUUAGUGGAAGCGUCUGGAAAGGCGCGCGAUACAGGGUGACAGCCCCGUACACAAAAAUGCACAUGCUGUGAGCUCGAUGAGUAGGGCGGGACACGUGGUAUCCUGUCUGAAUAUGGGGGGACCAUCCUCCAAGGCUAAAUACUCCUGACUGACCGAUAGUGAACCAGUACCGUGAGGGAAAGGCGAAAAGAACCCCGGCGAGGGGAGUGAAAAAGAACCUGAAACCGUGUACGUACAAGCAGUGGGAGCACGCUUAGGCGUGUGACCGCGUACCUUUUGUAUAAUGGGUCAGCGACUUAUAUUCUGUAGCAAGGUUAACCGAAUAGGGGAGCCGAAGGGAAACCGAGUCUUAACUGGGCGUUAAGUUGCAGGGUAUAGACCCGAAACCCGGUGAUCUAGCCAUGGGCAGGUUGAAGGUUGGGUAACACUAACUGGAGGACCGAACCGACUAAUGUUGAAAAAUUAGCGGAUGACUUGUGGCUGGGGGUGAAAGGCCAAUCAAACCGGGAGAUAGCUGGUUCUCCCCGAAAGCUAUUUAGGUAGCGCCUCGUGAACUCAUCUCCGGGGGUAGAGCACUGUUUCGGCAAGGGGGUCAUCCCGACUUACCAACCCGAUGCAAACUGCGAAUACCGGAGAAUGUUAUCACGGGAGACACACGGCGGGUGCUAACGUCCGUCGUGAAGAGGGAAACAACCCAGACCGCCAGCUAAGGUCCCAAAGUCAUGGUUAAGUGGGAAACGAUGUGGGAAGGCCCAGACAGCCAGGAUGUUGGCUUAGAAGCAGCCAUCAUUUAAAGAAAGCGUAAUAGCUCACUGGUCGAGUCGGCCUGCGCGGAAGAUGUAACGGGGCUAAACCAUGCACCGAAGCUGCGGCAGCGACGCUUAUGCGUUGUUGGGUAGGGGAGCGUUCUGUAAGCCUGUGAAGGUGUACUGUGAGG
rnacentral:rRNA from 1 species